UACGUAGGGUGCGAGCGUUGUCCGGAAUUACUGGGCGUAAAGAGCUCGUAGGUGGUUUGUCGCGUUGUUCGUGAAAACUCACAGCUUAACUGUGGGCGUGCGGGCGAUACGGGCAGACUGGAGUACUGCAGGGGGAGACUGGAAUUCCUGGUGUAGCGGUGGAAUGCGCAGAUAUCAGGAGGAACACCGGUGGCGAAGGCGGGUCUCUAGGCAGUAACUGACGCUGAGGAGCGAAAGCGUGGGGGAGCGAACAGG
rnacentral:rRNA from 1 species